GCAUAUCAAUAAGCGGAGGAAAAGAAACCAACAGGGAUUACCUCAGUAACGGCGAGUGAAGCGGUAAGAGCUCAAAUUUGAAAGCUGGCUCCUUCGGGGUCCGCAUUGUAAUUUGCAGAGGAUGCUUCGGAAGCAGCCCCCAUCUAAGUACCCUGGAACGGGUCGUCAUAGAGGGUGAGAAUCCCGUAUGGGAUGGGGUGUCUGCGUCCAUGUGAAGCUCCUUCGACGAGUCGAGUUGUUUGGGAAUGCAGCUCUAAAUGGGUGGUAAAUUUCAUCUAAAGCUAAAUAUUGGCCGGAGACCGAUAGCGCACAAGUAGAGUGAUCGAAAGAUGAAAAGCACUUUGAAAAGAGAGUUAAAAAGCACGUGAAAUUGUUGAAAGGGAAGCGCUUGCGACCAGACUCGCCUCGGGGGUUCAACCGGCAUUCGUGCCGGUGUACUUCCCCCGGGGCGGGCCAGCGUCGGUUUGGGCGGUCGGUCAAAGGCUCUCGGAAUGUAACGCCUCUCGGGGCGUCUUAUAGCCGAGGGUGCCAUGCGACCUGCCCGGACCGAGGAACGCGCUUCGGCUCGGACGCUGGCAUAAUGGUCGUAAGCGACCCGUCUUGAAACACGGACCAAGGAGUCUAACAUCUACGCGAGUGUUCGGGUGUCAAACCCGUGCGCGCAGUGAAAGCGAACGGAGGUGGGAACCCUUACGGGUGCACCAUCGACCGAUCCUGAUGUCUUCGGAUGGAUUUGAGUAAGAGCGUAGCUGUUGGGACCCGAAAGAUGGUGAACUAUGCCUGAAUAGGGCGAAGCCAGAGGAAACUCUGGUGGAGGCUCGCAGCGGUUCUGACGUGCAAAUCGAUCGUCGAAUUUGGGUAUAGGGGGCGAAAGACUAAUCGAACCAUCUAGUAGCUGGUUCCUGCCGAA
rnacentral:rRNA from 1 species